ACGGGAGGCAGCAGUAGGGAAUAUUGCACAAUGGGGGAAACCCUGAUGCAGCGACGCCGCGUGAGCGAUGAAGUAUUUCGGUAUGUAAAGCUCUAUCAGCAGGGAAGAUAAUGACGGUACCUGACUAAGAAGCCCCGGCUAACUACGUGCCAGCAGCCGCGGUAAUACGUAGGGGGCAAGCGUUAUCCGGAUUUACUGGGUGUAAAGGGAGUGUAGGUGGUUUGGCAAGCCAGAUGUGAAAACCCGGGGCUCAACCCCGCGGACUGCAUUUGGAACUGUUACACUUGAGUGCAGGAGAGGAAAGUGGAAUUCCUAGUGUAGCGGUGAAAUGCGUAGAUAUUAGGAGGAACACCAGUGGCGAAGGCGGCUUUCUGGACUGUAACUGACACUGAGGCUCGAAAGCGUGGGGAGCAAACAGGAUUAGAUACCC
rnacentral:rRNA from 1 species